GCCAGGUGUGGUGGCACACACCUGUAAUCCCAGCUACUCGGGAGGCUGAGGCAGGAGAAUUGCUUGAGCCCAGGAGGCAGAGGUUGCAGUGAGCCAGGAUCGCACCACUGCACUCCAGCCUGGGUGACAGAGCAAGACUCUGUCUCAA
rnacentral:SRP_RNA from 1 species